GUCGGCAUGGAACAGGACCCCAG
rnacentral:piRNA from 1 species